rnacentral:rRNA from 1 species
AGGGAUUGCCUCAGUAGCGGCGAGUGAAGCGGCAAAAGCUCAAAUUUGAAAUCUGGCGUCUUUGGCGUCCGAGUUGUAAUUUGAAGAAGGUAUCUUUGGGCCCGGCUCUUGUCUAUGUUCCUUGGAACAGGACGUCACAGAGGGUGAGAAUCCCGUGCGAUGAGAUGACCCGGGUCUGUGUAAAGUUCCUUCGACGAGUCGAGUUGUUUGGGAAUGCAGCUCUAAGUGGGUGGUAAAUUCCAUCUAAAGCUAAAUAUUGGCGAGAGACCGAUAGCGAACAAGUACAGUGAUGGAAAGAUGAAAAGAACUUUGAAAAGAGAGUGAAAAAGUACGUGAAAUUGUUGAAAGGGAAGGGCUUGAGAUCAGACUUGGUAUUUUGCAUGCUGCUCUCUCGGGGGCGGCCGCUGCGGUUUACCGGGCCAGCAUCGGUUUGGAGCGGCAGGAUAAUGGCGGAGGAAUGUGGCACGGCUUCUGCUGUGUGUUAUAGCCUCUGACGAUACUGCCAGCCUAGACCGAGGACUGCGGUUUUUACCUAGGAUGUUGGCAUAAUGAUCUUAAGUCGCCCGUCUU